GACGACUAGCGAGACUUGUGCCCCGCCAGGGCUGCGCCGCCUUCCCGCGGGCCCGACAGGGGAGAUGCCGGCCGUGCGCAAGCGAGCAGGGGCAGCCGCGGGCCACGCGGCGCGUGUGCGUGGCAGCGCCAUUAGAAAUCCAGGGGAAAAGCCAAACCGAUUGAAAGCCAGGGAACAUAGCAGCAAGCACCAGAGAGCACAAGUUCCCCACCACAGCUCUGCAGCUCAAGAGGAAAAAGGAAAAAGUUCCCAGGCCUGAUGCAUUCUGAAUUCCUGCCUUCUUUGAUCUGCAAGACUGCCUCUAUCCUGAGGGAUCUAUCUGGCUCCUGGACCUUGAUCUAAUUCCUGCUGACCAUUUUGCUACCUGUCAAAUGGGCCCUAC